rnacentral:rRNA from 1 species
ACACGCAUGACACACUGCAUAUCAAUAAGCGGAGGAAAAGAAACUAACAAGGAUUCCCUUAGUAACGGCGAGUGAAGCGGGAAGAGCUCAAAUUUGAAAUCUUCAAGGUUCUACCUUGACGAAUUGUAGUUUAUAGAAGUGUUUUCUGUUAGUGGAGUGGCAAAAGUUCUUUGGAAUAGGACAUCAUAGAGGGUGAGAAUCCCGUAUUUGGUCAUUCCUCCUAGCGUUGUGAUACACUUUCAACGAGUCGGAUUGUUUGGGAAUGCAGUCCAAAAUGGGUGGUAAAUUUCAUCUAAAGCUAAAUAUUGGCGAGAGACCGAUAGCGAACAAGUACCGUGAGGGAAAGAUGAAAAGAACUUUGAAAGAGAGUUAAACAGUACGUGAAAUUGUCAAAAGGGAAGCGUUUGACACCAGUGUUGUUUUUCCGAAAAUCAAUUACGAAUGUUUUAGUUUUUGAGGAGUUAUGACUUCAUCGGCUUGCUCCUUUCUUUAUGAAACUUUCUUAAUGCACUUUUCGGUUAACAAGUCAACAUCAAUUUCUUUUGUUGUAAAAGGGUAUGAGGAAGGUGGCUUUCUUUUCGGAGAAAGUGUUUAUAGCCUUGUGCCUCUGCAAUCGGAGAGAUUGAGGUCUGCAGCGUAGAUCCUUCGGGGUUAGAUACGUUUGUGCUAAGUUAUAGCUUUUCAUAGACAACUUGUUGACUAUGUUUAGUCUUGUAGCUUACUCGCUGAUGCUAUUUUACCUACGCUUAGGAUGUUGACGAGACUGUCGAUCUC